CUAAGCGAGGACCAAGAUACAAAGUCUCAGAUAAAACCUUUGCAUCUGAGAUAAAAGCUCAGCUCUAAUCUUGGUCUGGACUCAUCGGAUAAACUUCUCAAAAUGAAAUUCGCUUGUCAGCUCCUGGGGCUGCUGAUUCUCUGGAUCCCAGGAUCCAGUGGCGAGGUCGUGAUGACGCAGACCCCACUGUCCCUGCCCAUCACCCCUGGAGAGCCGGCCUCCAUCUCCUGCAGGGCCAGUCAGAGCCUCCUGCACAGUGAUGGAAAGUCCUAUUUGAAUUGGUACCUGCAGAAGCCUGGCCAGUCUCCACGGGCCCUGAUCUGUGAGGCUUCCAAACGUUUCUCUGGGGUCCCGGACAGGUUCAGUGGCAGCGGGUCAGGGACAGAUUUCACCCUCAAAAUCAGCAGGGUGGAAGCUGAGGACUUUGGAGUUUAUUACUGCCAGCAAAGCAUACAGUCUCCGCCCACAGUGGUUCAGCCCCAAGCAAAAACCUCCGUGCGUGUCACGGCCCAGCUGCCCACACGUGGUGUUAGUCUGGGGAGCAGGCACAGCAGACCCUCUCAGUCAGUGUAAGAGGAAGACCUUGGGGAGCUCAAGGCCAUGGAUG